AUAAAAAUGAGUCCUGCAAUGGGAUGGGAUCCGAAGGCUCCUGAAGAUUCCAUCCAACUCCUAUUCCGACACGUCCACGUCGUGCAGGGUGGUAACAUGGGCCCAAACCUAACCUUUUGGGCGGGCGACGGCUCAUGGCUAAGGAGGAAGGG
rfam:Anopheles epiroticus strain epiroticus2 unplaced genomic scaffold supercont1.1538, whole genome shotgun sequence.